rnacentral:rRNA from 1 species
GGCAGCAGUGGGGAAUAUUGCACAAUGGGCGCAAGCCUGAUGCAGCCAUGCCGCGUGUAUGAAGAAGGCCUUCGGGUUGUAAAGUACUUUCAGCGGGGAGGAAGGGAGUAAAGUUAAUACCUUUGCUCAUUGACGUUACCCGCAGAAGAAGCACCGGCUAACUCCGUGCCAGCAGCCGCGGUAAUACGGAGGGUGCAAGCGUUAAUCGGAAUUACUGGGCGUAAAGCGCACGCAGGCGGUUUGUUAAGUCAGAUGUGAAAUCCCCGGGCUCAACCUGGGAACUGCAUCUGAUACUGGCAAGCUUGAGUCUCGUAGAGGGGGGUAGAAUUCCAGGUGUAGCGGUGAAAUGCGUAGAGAUCUGGAGGAAUACCGGUGGCGAAGGCGGCCCCCUGGACGAAGACUGACGCUCAGGUGCGAAAGCGUGGGGAGCAAACAGGAUUAGAUACCCUGGUAGUCCACGCCGUAAACGAUGUCGACUUGGAGGUUGUGCCCUUGAGGCGUGGCUUCCGGAGCUAACGCGUUAAGUCGACCGCCUGGGGAGUACGGCCGCAAGGUUAAAACUCAAAUGAAUUGACGGGGGCCCGCACAAGCGGUGGAGCAUGUGGUUUAAUUCGAUGCAACGCGAAGAACCUUACCUGGUCUUGACAUCCACGGAAGUUUUCAGAGAUGAGAAUGUGCCUUCGGGAACCGUGAGACAGGUGCUGCAUGGCUGUCGUCAGCUCGUGUUGUGAAAUGUUGGGUUAAGUCCCGCAACGAGCGCAACCCUUAUCCUUUGUUGCCAGCGGUCCGGCCGGGAACUCAAAGGAGACUGCCAGUGAUAAACUGGAGGAAGGGGGGAUGACGUCAAGUCAUCAUGGCCCUUACGACCAGGGCUACACACGUGCUACAAUGGCGCAUACAAAGAGAAGCGACCUCGCGAGAGCAAGCGGACCUCAUAAAGUGCGUCGUAGUCCGGAUUGGAGUCUGCAACUCGACUCCAUGAAGUCGGAAUCGCUAGUAAUCGUGGAUCAGAAUGCCACGGUGAAUACGUUCCCGGGCCUUGUACACACCGCCCGUCACACCAUGGGAGUGGGUUGCAAAAGAAGUAGGUAGCUUAACCUUCGGGAGGGCGCUUACCACUUUGUGAUUCAUGACUGGGGUGAAGUCGUAACAAGGUAACCGUAGGGGAACCUGCGGUUG